UGAGACAUUUUGAAAAGUCUGAAGACAGAUCAUGAAAUAAAGUCAGAGUUAUGAGGUGCUGAGCAAAAAAUUCAUGCUUGUAAAUUUAGUAAAACAACUUGUCAAUAUUACACUUGUGAGAGAGAUUUAAAUAGUGGUUAUCAUUUAAUGUAUUUCUUGUAUAUAUUAUAUAUGUUACACAUGUUUUUAAACUAAAGGGUCAGUGUUUGUUCUCUAUUCAAUGUGAUGUAACAUCACUGUGACACUGUGAAAUAAGAAAUUCUACCUCCUAGGUUAGUUGAACUCUUGAACUUGUUUGUAUCUGAGGGUUGUUUGCUGACCUCUGGGGUUUAUCUACAGAUAUCUUUGCCUUAAUCCUACUGUUUUACAAACUGUGGAUCAUCAGGUACCUAGUUGAGCUAAAUUUGAAGGAUGUCCUUGUUUGAAGUUAUUGACUGACCAUCAGGUCUCUGUGACAUCAUCCUAUGACCCUUCUUGUUUGUAAGAAGGUGUAACGGUUUGUUGAAGUGUCCAUUUAGGGACCUGACUGUUUUUAACUUUGCUGGUAUAAAGCUGUCUGGUUUGUGUUCUCGAUCUUUAGAGAAAGGUCAACAUUAACAACAUGCUUUCUCUCCA